GACGAACGCUGGCGGCGUGCUUAACACAUGCAAGUCGAACGGGCCUUGUCCCCUUUUUUUUUGGGGGUGGGGUUAGUGGCGAACGGGUGAGUAACACGUGAGUAACCUGCCCCUCACUUCUGGAUAACCGCUUGAAAGGGUGGCUAAUACGGGGUGUUCUGGCCUGCUCGCAUGGGUGGGUUUGGAAAGAUUCGACCGGUUUGGUUGUUUUGGUGGGGGAUGGGCUCGCGGCCUAUCAGCUUGUUGGUGGGGUGAUGGCCUGCCAAGGCUUUGACGGGUAGCCGGCCUGAGAGGGUGGGCGGUCACACUGGGACUGAGACACGGCCCAGACUCCUACGGGAGGCAGCAGUGGGGAAUAUUGCACAAUGGGCGCAAGCCUGAUGCAGCGACGCCGCGUGAGGGAUGGAGGCCUUCGGGGUGUGAACCUCUUUCGCCAGUGAAGAAGGUCCUGCUCUUUGUGGUGGGGUUGACGGUAGCUGGGUUAAUGAAGCGCCGGCUAACUACGUG
rnacentral:rRNA from 1 species